rnacentral:rRNA from 1 species
AUGUGCAACUAUAAGUCCGAGGUGCAAUCCGUGGACUUCCAGACUAAGGCUCCUGAAGUUGCUAGUCAAGUGAACUCUUGGGUAGAGAAUGUCACAACAGGUCUCAUCAGAGAGAUCCUCCCUGAAGGGUCUAUUGACUACAACACUAGACUGGUUCUUGGUAAUGCCCUUUAUUUCAAAGGACUUUGGAAUGAGAAAUUUGACGAAUCUAAGAGAAAAUACGACAAGUUCCACCUUUUAAAUGGGAACACUGUUCAAACACCAUUCAUGUCCAGUACAAAUAAGCAAUACAUUUCAUCUUCCGACGGCUUGAAGGUACUUAAGCUUCCAUAUCAGAAAGGUGGAGACAAUAGGCAAUUCUCCAUGUACAUUCUUCUUCCGGAAAGACUUGAUGGUCUCUGGACCUUAGCCAAUAGGUUGAGCACUGAAUCAGAGUUCAUCGAGAAGCAUAUACCAACGGAGAAAGUUGUAGUUCAGCAGUUCAUGCCGCCAAAGUUCAAGAUAUCAUUUGGAUUUGAAGCAACCAAUUUGCUCAAGAGUUUGGGUCUUCAGUUGCCAUUUAGCAAAGAGGCAAACCUUUCAGAGAUGGUGAAUUCUCAGGUGGGCCUAUUCCUCUCAUCUGUUUUCCACAAGUCAUUUGUCAAAGUGAACGAGCAAGGAACUGAGGCUGCAGCGGCAACUAGUGUAGCGAUCGAACAACAACAGAUGCCCAUUGUGAUGGACUUCAUUGCAGAUCACCCUUUCCUCUUCCUUAUCCGAGAAGACGUCACUAGUGUGGUUCUCUUCAUCGGUCAUGUGGCAAAUCCCCUCAUGUCUUCAUAA